CAAGCAUCGAGAAUAAUAGUUUUAAAAAAGAGAGCGCUUAGAGAAAAAAGUUUUCCCAACUUCUCAUUCCGCCUUCAGUUCCAGACUUCAGAGUCACCGUGAUCAGUUAAAACAAUGAAAAGAAAGAAACUCUUCUGUAGGACCAAGCAAUUUAUGGGCAACUUUGACUGCAGAGAGGCUUAAGCAGCAUUCUUUCAUUUGUUCCAUGGUGCUGGUUGCUUUAACCCUUUCUGCCUCAUCCAAGCGCACUGAUCACCCUGCCACCCGGGAGUUUGCUGGCCCAGCUGCACUGUCACGUCAAAAAUCCACAGGCCCUCCUUCCUGGUUUGAGACAUUCCACAGUUUUGGAUUUGGUCAAGAUAAUGCUGUCUCCCAUUUUGAGUUAACUUCUUUGAGUGUAAGACUCUAGCCUCCAUGACCUUCCCCGAGUUCAAAAGAGCAGAUUAGAAGUUUCUCAUCAAGGGAAGAACAGCCUUGAAACCACCUGAGGCAACCCCACCCUUAAACCAUGCUAUAAAACUCCCCAUCAAGUCCUUCAUGUCCUCAUCAAGUUGGGACACAAAGAUCUCAAGGGCAGGAUCUCUCUGUGUUUCCUUUGCCUGGCAAAGCAAUAAAAGCUAUUUUUUUCUACUUCACCCCAAAUUCUGUCUCUGAGAUUUGAUUUGGCUCUAGCGUACAGAGGCUGAGAUUUUGGUGCCAAGCUCUCAAUCGUUAGUGAUUUGCACAGUCAUCCUAGAACCACCAUGAAGUUCUCCACAUUUCAUGUUUUUCUUUCUCUUUCACAUUUCAUUUUAGUUGCUGAACUAAAAGCCUGAAUGGCAUUUUCACCAAUUUUCC